CCGACGCCCAGGGGUCAUGCACCGGGACCUCAAGCCCGAGAAGUUCCUGUACGCGGGCAAGAGCCCAGACGCACGACUCAAGGCCAUCGACUUCGGCCUCUCCGUCUUCUUCAGACUAGCUUUUAGUGGCUUUAAAAGUUCGCUACCCUCACAGGAUCACCAUUCUCAGAGGGAACCAUGAAAGACGACAGAUUACUCAAGUUUAUGGAUUCUAUGAUGAGUGUCUAAGGAGAAAUUGACUCAAGAUUGGCCGGAAGUGAUUGAUUGAAGGCUGGCGGUAAAUUUCAGUUCAGACUAAGGGUCGCUGCAAGUGAUUGAUUGAAGAAUGGCAGGAAAUUUCUGUUCGGCAAAAGCAAAUCCAUCUCUUGUAGGUUUAUACUGUAUUCUUUGUAUUAGCAGAUUUUUGGAGCUAUGAAGCCUAGACGAUUAUAAUUUGUAUUUAAUUAACAUUUGGUGUGUAUGCAUUGGCUGCUGUUUAUGGGCUUUAUUGAAAGUAGAAAUGGGCUUGGCCCAUAAAUGAUUGCUCAUAUUGGAUGUUGAAAUGGCUUGGGCCAAAACAGUUAAAUA